rnacentral:misc_RNA from 1 species
UAGGUAUACCGCGACAUUAGCUUGCGGCCGGUUCGCGCUGCCAUCUUGCCAGUAGCAAACGAUUUGUGACAGGCUACGCUACAGAACUCGGAUUUAUAAUUAUUGGUGACAAAUAAAUAUUUAAUAGAUAUGCCUCCACGACGGGCUCAGUGGACCCAUGAAAACUUGCGUUCUGCUAUGGCAGCUGUAGAACGAGGGCUGUUGACGCAGUGUAGUGUAGCAGACCAAUAUAACAUUCCUAGAUGUACGCUGAG